GAUCCUGGCUCAGGAUGAACGCUGGCGGCGUGCCUAACACAUGCAAGUCGAGCGAUUCUCUUCGGAGAAGAGCGGCGGACGGGUGAGUAACGCGUGGGUAACCUGCCCUGUACACACGGAUAACAUACCGAAAGGUAUGCUAAUACGGGAUAACAUAAAGAAAUUCGCAUGUUUUUCUUAUCAAAGCUCCGGCGGUACAGGAUGGACCCGCGUCUGAUUAGCUAGUUGGUGAGGUAACGGCUCACCG
rnacentral:rRNA from 1 species